rnacentral:lncRNA from 1 species
AAUUAAACAUUUGGCCUGUUACAGAUUGGCAAACCACAAUUAUAGGCCCUAAUGACAGCCCUUAUCAAGGCAGUAUAUUCUUUUUGACACAAUGUUGCAUUAUAACUGGAAUUCAUCAUCCAAAUAUUGGCAUAAUAUUAAAUUUUAAAUAAUAUUUAAAUGUGAAUGAUUCUAAUAUAUCACUCAAACAUUAAAUAAUAAUGGGAGCAUUCAUCUUAGAAUCACAGUGGUCUCUUGCUUUUAUUGUUUCUAAAGUUAUUCUACUCAUUUUGUCACUGCUAUAUAGCCCAAACUCAGAUGAUGUCCUAGUGCCAGAAAUCGCAUAGAUCCAUAAAUCAGACAGAUGAGCACAACAGAAUAUCUUAGCAAUGGACUCCGAAGCAUGCCAGAGAAGCAUGCAUUAUAGCUAAAAUAAACUUUAAAUUACAGAUUUAAAAGAGGAAAUAAAUAAAAAGAAUGACUCCUGG